rnacentral:rRNA from 1 species
AUUGAACGCUGGCGGCAUGCCUUACACAUGCAAGUCGAACGGUAACAGGUCUUCGGAUGCUGACGAGUGGCGAAAGGGUGAGUAAUGUAUCGGAACGUGCCCAGUUGUGGGGGAUAACUGCUCGAAAGAGCAGCUAAUACCGCAUACGACCUGAGGGUGAAAGCGGGGGAUCGCAAGACCUCGCGCAAUUGGAGCGGCCGAUAUAAGAUUAGGUAGUUGGUGAGGUAAAGGCUCACCAAGCCGACGAUCUGUAGCUGGUCUGAGAGGACGACCAGCCACACCGGGACUGAGACACGGCCCAGACUCCUACGGGAGGCAGCAGUGGGGAAUUUUGGACAAUGGGCGCAAGCCUGAUCCAGCAAUGCCGCGUGCAGGAAGAAGGCCUUCGGGUUGUAAACUGCUUUUGUACGGGACGAAAAGGCUCUGGUUAAUACCUGGGGCUCAUGACGGUACCGUAAGAAUAAGCACCGGCUAACUACGUGCCAGCCGCCGCGGUAACAC